rnacentral:lncRNA from 10 species
CUCCCAGGACCUAUCUGGCUCCAGCCCUCUCCACCUCCCCAGUCUUCUCCCCCGCCUCAGCCCCAUCCGUGUCAUACCUGCCGGGGACUGGUUGACAGCUUUAACAAGGGCCUGGAGAGAACCAUCCGGGACAACUUUGGAGGUGGAAACACUGCCUGGGAGGAAGAGAAUUUGUCCAAAUACAAAGACAGGUAAGGGGCUGCUGGGGGAAGGGGUGUAUAUUCCCCUCCCCGCCAAAUCUCUGCUCUGCUGGUGUAGGGCUAGGAACUCUUGGGGAGCACUUAUUCAUUCAACAAAUAGCACUGAACAUCUAUAGUAUAGCAGUAAACAAGGCAAGCAAAAUGCCCCCUUCCUGGAGCU